rnacentral:rRNA from 1 species
CGUGUAGGCGGGCUUUUAAGUCAGGGGUGAAAUGCCAAGGCUCAACCUUGGAACUGCCUUUGAUACUGGAAGUCUUGAGUCCGGGAGAGGUGAGUGGAACUGCGAGUGUAGAGGUGAAAUUCGUAGAUAUUCGCAAGAACACCAGUAGCGAAGGCGGCUCACUGGCCCGGAACUGACGCUGAGACGCGAAAGCGUGGGGAGCAAACAGGAUUAGAUACCCUGGUAGUCCACGCUGUAAACGAUGGAUGCUAGCCGUUGGGGAGCUUGCUCUUCAGUGGCGCAGCUAACGCUUUAAGCAUCCCGCCUGGGGAGUACGGUCGCAAGAUUAAA